CCCCCCAUCCUGGGAACACAGCUGUGAGUCCCUCCUGCCUCCCAGUGCCCCUCAUUCCUGGGGCAAAGCUGUCUUAGCCAUUCUGGGGUCCUGCCUGUAAACUUUAGGGGACAUUUAUUUGGGGUAGAGGUUACAUUUUGAAGGAAAACCUCUUCAGCAAAAUAUUCCCGGAGCAUCCACUGUCAACAUGGCCUUGGGUGGUAAUGUUCUCUCUCUGAGCCUCAGUUUCCUCAUCUGAUGCAUUUUGUCCUGAACUGCAAACCCCGGGGUGGUUGUGGGGAUUUGGUGCCAGGGGCACAGGAGUGAAGAGUCACUGUGAGUUUCCAGACCAGGCAAGAUGAGCCUGGGCUGGGUCCUGAUGAUGUGAUGGGAUCCGGGGGUCUGACGCUGCAGUCAGCUGUUUGGUUGAUGCACCCACUGGAGACCUGGUCUGUUCUGAAACCCAAUAUUGCCACUCACAGUAAUUCUGAAAUACGCAGCCAUGGACAAAUGCAGAGAAACGGGAAAUGAAAUUUCCAAAAAUGGAGUUGGAACCGCAGCAGGGAAGAGAGAACAAAGUUGAGUUCCCACUGGUGCCUGGGACCAUGGAGGGAUCAUAGAGAGGGAUUUUCCAUCCUUGUGGACCCUAGAGGGACCCCAGUGUCUUUUCACAGGGGAAAUAUCCGGGCUCCAGGCAAAGGUUCGAAGCUGAGGCUCCCCUCCCCCAUGUUUUUGGAUGGAAGUCUGUAAUACGUGCCCCUGGUCCAGAUUGAGUAACCCUGCCCUGUGUGGGCUCAAACAGCCAAAAUCUCGUGCUGUUAGCUAUGGGCAUCUCUCCCAUGUGCGUAUGCAUGUGUCUGAAACUGACUGUCAUGUUUGGAUCAGACAGUCUCAAGGUACUCUCAAGUUGGGAGAAGUGUGAAGGUUAAUACAGGGAAACCCCACAAAAAAAGGAUCGUGAAGCCAGAAGGGGGAUCUUGCUCGCUACACCUCUUGGUCAAGAAUCACCAAUCGCUCACCCCACAGAGGAAUCAUCAACAGUACAGGAUCCUCAAAUACAGGCCCCAACAGAGAAUGCUGGGAGGAGGCAAGAGCAGGUGGAAGAAGCCUUCGCUCACACUGGAGAAUUCCUUUCAACAUUCCCGUCCUGAAAUGAGUCUGCUUUUUGGAGUCCUGUGUAAACAGUGGUGGCAUCAUCCUACUUCCCUCAUUCACAAUGAGGAAAGGAGUGUAGGUUGGAAGUUGUGCAGACUGUGUCUCAGCUGACUCCCCCCACCAGCAGGAAAUCCCAAGCCGCAUGCGAAGCCUGUGACUUCACUUGCUCCCCCCACCAGCAGGAAAUCCCAAGGACGCAUGCGCAGCCUGUGACGUCGCUUGCUCCCCCCACCAGCAGGAAAUCCCAAGGACGCAUGUGCAGCCUGUGACUUCGCUUGCUCCCCCCACCAGCAGGAAAUCACAAAGACGCAUGUGCAGUGUGUUGCAUCCCGGCCAGCCAGCUUUGCAGGCCUCACGGCAGUGCAUGCAUUCAACAGCUGACUGUGCCGGCCGAGUUCAGCUUCACUGUGACGAUGAGCUCAAGGAGGAAAACGGGGGAAUAUGGUGAGAAAACAUGACUCUUCUCCUGGUCCCUGAUUGUGGGUUUUCUCCCUGCCAAGAGCCCUCAUCAUGGAUUUCCCUUUUCUUGCAACAGCGCCCACACAUCUUGCUAGAAACGUAGCCCCCUGGUGCCCCUUGUUUCUGUUCGCAGGUAUCCCCGCAUUGCUCUGGUCCUGCCUUCAGCUUCGGGCUCAGUCGGUUGGGUUUGUGCUCUGAAUAUGAAGGGAAAACUGACCUUUGUGUAAAGAUUCAACUAUCAAAAAAAAAAAAAAAAAGAUUCAACUAUCAUCUAGUGACUGUGUGACUUUGAGAAAUAUCAUCCAGUCUCUGAGCCUGAGUUUCCUCCUUGGGAGAGGUUUGUCAUGAACCCUAGUGCUCAGAGCAGGUGUGGGGCCCGUGCUGUCAUGUUGAUGGGGUGGCUCAGUCAUCACUAAUUUCAGGCCAGAUGAAGAGUCUUGGAAGAGGUGCAUGAGAGGAUGCGUUGUCUGACUCCACUGUCUAGGUAGACAAUGGAUGGGCUCACUCAAGAGCCCUGGUUCGUUCCUAACACCGAGAGAUGCUGUUUAUCAUAUUUCUGAAAAAUGUAGCCACAGCCAAGUGCAGAAGAGGAGAAAAGAAAGUUCCCAAAUUGAGGAACCUCAACAGAUACAAGAGGUCAAAGCUGAGUGGCCACCGGUGUCUGGGACCAACAAGGGGUCAUCAGUGUGGAUGUUUCCCCUCUGUGUGGACAUGAGAGGAACCCCAGGUCUUCACAGGCAAGGAUGGGAUCAGAUCUCUGGUGAGUUUGGAGGCUGUGUUGCUCCCUUCUCCAUUUUUG